AAUAAAAAUUCAUAGUUAUUUCUCCUCCAUCUGCUAGUUACAAGUAUUUAUUGGUUCCUUUUAUUUUAUAUCAAAUUUAUUUUUUGGUUAUUUUAUUUUGUUUUGUAAACUUUUGUCUUUGCAUUGGUAACUGAAAGUGGAGCAUUGGUAUCAGAGGGGGGCUUUGCUGCUUCAUAUGGGGAUUGAUAUGGACUUUAUUCGGUGGUGCUGACAAAGGUCCUCUAUAUGGCAUGAGUUUUUGUUCUUGGGGUGCAUUUGAGAAGUCCCGCCUCGAGCGUCGCUGAAGUCCGUUGAUUUUUUUUUUUUUUCCUUUUGUUUUUCCUUGUGUCUCAAUCUAUAAAUUUUCUAUCUAUUAUGUAACCUUUCAUUCUCAGGCGCCCUGUAGAUGAGGCUGGUUGUAAAUGAUUUACAGGUUGUGUUUGAAUGCUAAUUUAAUCUUGUAAAGGUCUUUUGAUUUUGUAGAUUUAGCCUAGCAGAAUUUUUAA